rnacentral:rRNA from 1 species
AUUGAACGCUGGCGGCAGGCCUAACACAUGCAAGUCGAACGAGCGGCGGACGGGUGAGUAAUGUAUGGGGACUGCCCGAUAGAGGGGGAUAACUACUGGAAACGGUGGCUAAUACCGCAUACUAUCCGAUAACCCAUAUGGGAUUAGCUAGUAGGUGGGGUAAAGGCUCACCUAGGCGACGAUGCCUAGCUAGUCUGAGAGGAUGAUCAGCCACACUGGGACUGAGCCACGGCCCAGACUCUUACGGAGGCAGCAGUGGGGAAUAUUGCACAAUGGGCGCAAGCCUGAUGCAGCAAUGCCGCGUGAAUGAAGAAGGCCUUAGGGUUGUAAAGUACUUUCAGUGGGGAGGCGUUACCCAAAGAAGAAGCACCGGCUAACUACGUGCCAGCAGCCGCGGUAAUUC